rnacentral:rRNA from 1 species
CGGCACGCCUAACACAUGCAAGUCGAGCGAGGUAGCAAUACCUAGCGGCAGACGGGUGCGUAACAUGUGGGAAUCUGCCUUUUGGUUCGGAACAGCACGGGGAAACCUGUGCUAAUACCGUAUGUGCCCUUCGGGGGAAAGAUUUAUCGCCAAAGGAUUGGCCCGCGUUGGAUUAGGUAGUUGGUGGGGUAAUGGCCUACCAAGCCGACGAUCCAUAGCUGGUUUGAGAGGAUGAUCAGCCACACUGGGACUGAGACACGGCCCAGACUCC